CCUACGGGAGGCAGCAGUGAGGAAUAUUGGUCAAUGGACGAGAGUCUGAACCAGCCAAGUAGCGUGAAGGAUAACUGCCCUAUGGGUUGUAAACUUCUUUUAUAUGGGAAUAAAACGUUCCACGUGUGGGAUUUUGUAUGUACCAUAUGAAUAAGGAUCGGCUAACUCCGUGCCAGCAGCCGCGGUAAUACGGAGGAUCCGAGCGUUAUCCGGAUUUAUUGGGUUUAAAGGGAGCGUAGGUGGAUUGUUAAGUCAGUUGUGAAAGUUUGCGGCUCAACCGUAAAAUUGCAGUUGAAACUGGCAGUCUUGAGUACAGUAGAGGUGGGCGGAAUUCGUGGUGUAGCGGUGAAAUGCUUAGAUAUCACGAAGAACUCCGAUUGCGAAGGCAGUUCACUGGACUGCAACUGACACUGAGGCUCGAAAGUGUGGGUAUCAAACAGGAUUAGAUACCCCAGUAGUC
rnacentral:rRNA from 1 species